GAUGAACGCUAGCGGCAGGCCUAACACAUGCAAGUCGAGGGGUAACCAGAAUAAUAGCAAUAUUAUUUUGGCUAGACCGGCGCACGGGUGCGUAACACGUAUGCAACCUACCUUAUACAGGAGGAUAACUCCGAGAAAUCGGGGCUAAUAUUCCAUAACACAGUGAAGUGGCAUCAUUUUAUUGUUAAAGCUGAGGCGGUAUAAGAUGGGCAUGCGUCCAAUUAGCUAGUUGGUGAGGUAAUGGCUCACCAAGGCUACGAUUGGUAGGGGUUCUGAGAGGAUGAUCCCCCACACUGGUACUGAGACACGGACCAGACUCCUACGGGAGGCAGCAGUGAGGAAUAUUGCGCAAUGGACGAAAGUCUGACGCAGCCAUGCCGCGUGCAGGAUGAAGGCCCUAUGGGUUGUAAACUGCUUUUGUACGGGAAUAACCCUUCUACGUGUAGAAGGCUGAAGUR
rnacentral:rRNA from 1 species